UACGGAGGGUGCGAGCGUUAAUCGGAAUUACUGGGCGUAAAGGGUGCGUAGGUGGUCUGAUAAGUUAUCUGUGAAAGCCCUGGGCUCAACCUGGGAAGGCCAGAUAAGACUGUUGGACUCGAGUAUGGGAGAGGGUAGUGGAAUUUCCGGUGUAGCGGUGAAAUGCGUAGAGAUCGGAAGGAACACCAGUGGCGAAGGCGGCUACCUGGCCUGAUACUGACACUGAAGCGCGAAAGCGUGGGGAGCAAACAGG
rnacentral:rRNA from 1 species